rnacentral:misc_RNA from 1 species
AAAGUGCGAAAAGUGUCAUGACUUGCAGAUUCCCGAGAGCUGACAAAUCUCUGAAUGCAAAUGGCAGCCGAGUGAGACCCGGCUAUGUAUUGUAGAGUGUAGACGCUCCAGCUAUUCAUCAUUCCCAUCCUCUCUUUAUCCAUAGAGAGUGAACGAAUGUAUCUGCGCUUGUACACUAGACUAAUCUAGCUGUACGAGUGUUAAAUGUAAAGGUCGGUGAAGGAGAGGUCACACUCAACUUCACAAGGAGCACCGAUGAAACCAAUAAAUCUCAUUGUGUGUCUUCAACACGACGAACUCAAAUUCAUGAGCCACCUCUAUGAUGCAUGAUAACCCGCUGAACUUAA